GAGGGUAUAGCUCAAGUGGUAGAGUGCAUGCUUAGCACGCACAGGGUCCUGGGUUCAACUCCAGUACCUACA
rnacentral:tRNA from 1 species